GCAAAACACUUAGCUCAAUCAACUAAUAUUAAACCCAAAAAACUAAAUAUUCCACCAAACCAAAUUUAAAACAUUUUAACUUCUUUAAUCCAAGUAUGGGCGACAGAAAAGAUGAUACGAAGCAAUAUAAACAGUACCGCAAGGGAAAAGUGAAAAAAUUGAAACUUAAAAAAGCAAAAAAAAGCAAAGAUUAACCCUUGUACCUCUCGCAUUAUGAUUUAGCCAGUAACACCUAAGCAAAGAGAACUGAAGUCUAAAACCCCGAAACUAAGUGAGCUACUUAAAGGCGGCCAACAACCAAUCAAGCUAUCAUCAUCUCUGUGGCAAAAGAGUGAUAAGACCUUCAAGUAGCGGUGACAAGCCUAACGAACCUAGUGAUAGCUGGUUGCUCAAUAAAAGAGUAUAAGCUCUACCCUAAAUACACAAUAAAACAAUUAAAAAGUUAUAAGAAAAAUUUAGGAGCUAUUCAAUUAAGGUACAGCUUAAUUGAAACAGAACACAAUCUAAAAUGAAGGAUAAGACUAAACAAAACAUCAUCGUAGGCCUUAAAGCAGCCACCACUAAAGAAAACGUCAAAGCCCUACCAUUACAAAUACAAACAACAUUCCACUCCUCAAACAACACUGAGCCAUUCUACAAAAAUAGAAGAAAUCAUGCUAAAAUGAGUAACAAGAAGAUAAAACUUCUCUACUACGCCAGCUUAAAUCAGAAUAGACAAACUACUGAUUAUUAACAACCUCUAUAAAAACAACAAUACUAAACAAAACAUAUAAUAUAAACUGUUAACCCAACACAGGAGCGUAAAACAAGAAAGAUUAAAAUCUGUAAAAGGAACUAGGCAAAUAAAGGGCCCGACUGUUUACCAAAAACAUAGCCCCUAGCAACAACAAGUAUUAGGGGUGAUGCCUGCCCAGUGACACUGUUCAACGGCCGCGGUAUCCUAACCGUGCAAAGGUAGCGUAAUCACUUGUCCUUUAAAUAAGGACCAGUAUGAAAGGCUAAACGAGGCCCUAUCUGUCUCUUACAGAUAAUCAGUGAAAUUGAUCCUCUCGUGCAAAAGCGAGAAUACAAAUAUAAGACGAGAAGACCCUGUGGAACUUCAAAUAAAGCAUCAAAUUAACCAAACCAUACCCCUAUAAAGGGACAUAAAUCACUUUAACACCUGAUACAUAUUUUUGGUUGGGGCGACCUCGGAGUAAAACAAAACCUCCGAAAAAAGAACACACUCCUUACCUAGAAAAACAACCCAAAGUGCCCACUGCAAAAUGAUCCAAUCCAUUUGAUCAACGAACCAAGCUACCCCAGGGAUAACAGCGCAAUACCGUCACAGAGUCCCUAUCGACGACGGAGUUUACGACCUCGAUGUUGGAUCAGGACAUCCUAAUGGUGCAACAGCUAUUAAGGGUUCGUUUGUUCAACGAUUAAAGUCCUACGUGAUCUGAGUUCAGACCGGAGCAAUCCAGGUCGGUUUCUAUCUAUAACAAAAUCUUUUCCAGUACGAAAGGACAGAAAAGAUAAGGCCCAUACAUAAAAACAAGCCUUAAACUUACAUUAGUGAACUCAACUAAACUAAUAAUAAGAACACCAUCACUAUCCCAAAAUCCAGGGUUU
rnacentral:rRNA from 1 species